AUGUGUGAGGGCUGGGCAAUGUG
rnacentral:piRNA from 1 species